GUUAAGAUGGCAGGGCCCAGCAAUUGUGUAACACUUCAAACUUUAUUACCAGAGGUUCAAUUCCUCAUCUUAACA
rfam:Ictidomys tridecemlineatus contig118424, whole genome shotgun sequence.